rnacentral:rRNA from 2 species
AGACCCGAAACCCGGUGAUCUAGCCAUGGGCAGGUUGAAGGUUGGGUAACACUAACUGGAGGACCGAACCGACUAAUGUUGAAAAAUUAGCGGAUGACCUGUGGCUGGGGGUGAAAGGCCAAUCAAACCGGGAGAUAGCUGGUUCUCCCCGAAAGCUAUUUAGGUAGCGCCUCGUGAAUUCAUCUCCGGGGGUAGAGCACUGUUUCGGCUAGGGGGCCAUCCCGGCUUACCAACCCGAUGCAAACUGCGAAUACCGGAGAAUGUUAUCACGGGAGACACACGGCGGGUGCUAACGUCCGUCGUGAAGAGGGAAACAACCCAGACCGCCAGCUAAGGUCCCAAAGUCAUGGUUAAGUGGGAAACGAUGUGGGAAGGCCCAGACAGCCAGGAUGUUGGCUUAGAAGCAGCCAUCAUUUAAAGAAAGCGUAAUAGCUCACUGGUCGAGUCGGCCUGCGCGGAAGAUGUAACGGGGCUAAACCAUGCACCGAAGCUGCGGCAGCGAACGUAUCACCCAAGACAACUUUACGGAGUUGACGAUUGACGGAGCGAAGCGACGUCAAAGCGUUCAUUAAAGUCGAGUUGGCUUAGGGAUACGUUCGUUGGGUAGGGGAGCGUUCUGUAAGCCUGUGAAGGUGUGUCGUGAGGCAUGCUGGAGGUAUCAGAAGUGCGAAUGCUGACAUAAGUAACGAUAAAGCGGGUGAAAAGCCCGCUCGCCGGAAGACCAAGGGUUCCUGUCCAACGUUAAUCGGGGCAGGGUGAGUCGACCCCUAAGGCGAGGCCGAAAGGCGUAGUCGAUGGGAAACGGGUUAAUAUUCCCGUACUUGGUGUUACUGCGAAGGGGGGACGGAGAAGGCUAUGUUGGCCGGGCGACGGUUGUCCCGGUUUAAGCGUGUAGGUGUGUGUUCCAGGUAAAUCCGGUUCACUUUAACACUGAGGCGUGAUGACGAGGCACUACGGUGCUGAAGCAACAAAUGCCCUGCUUCCAGGAAAAGCCUCUAAGCAUCAGGUAACAUCAAAUCGUACCCCAAACCGACACAGGUGGUCAGGUAGAGAAUACCAAGGCGCUUGAGAGAACUCGGGUGAAGGAACUAG